UGCAGGUGCUGCUAAUUCUCUCAAUUUCUUCCAGAAAUGGGAAAAUUUAUCUAUAUUACGAAAUGUGAUCUUCCUUUCUCCAAUCCAGUAGUUUAGCUGAUUUUGUACUGAAGCAACUCUGAUGGAGCAAAACCUAAGUUUUCAAAGCAGACUUGCCAAAUUUGCCAAUACUGAUCUGGAAGUCAAAUACCCAGGUGUUUUGAAGAGUGAAAAUGCUGGAAAAGCAGGGUGACAGGAUGAGAAUUCCCCUGGCUUUGCUGUGGCAGCUGCUGCCCGGGCUGCACACCCAGCUGAGGAAGCAGACCAGGAAAGGGUGCUCAGAGUAGUUCCUGCAGCUGAAGAAAGAGCCUACACCAAACCCAGGACUUGCCUGUGGGUCACCACACUGCUUUUGGAGGAGAUUUUUAAGGAGUUGUGAGACUUCGGACUCAAAGCAUUAUAUCAUGGUGAAAAAAGGUAUUGCAGGCAAAACUUCUCAUCAGACAACCAGAAUUUGCAGUUUCCAUCUGCCCCAAGCUGAACUUUGGGCUAGAGGAGUAGCUGCAGGCUGCUGAUGUCCUAAGAAGCACAGGGUUUGGGGUCUAUCUGUGCCGCAGCACCAAGAGUUCAUUUAUCUCUCUCUGGGGGACCACCUAUUCUCAGGCAGCAAAGGGCAGCAGCCCUGCAGGGCUCUUGCCAGCCCUUAGAGCCCCUAAUUGUCCUCAGCUGGGCCUGCCUACUGCUAUUUAAGCUCCAGCUGAGGAGCAUUUCCUGUUAUUGCUUCUUCUGCUUGGCUGCUGGGGGAACUGGGCUUCAUCUUUGAGGCUGGCUUCAUGGCCACUGUCCUUCAUCACAUUGUGUGCUGGAUCAACGAGUGUAUGAGGAUGGGAUGAUCAUCCUCCUGGUGGGAUACUGAAGUGAAAUACUGCAAGAGCAAAAUUCCCUAGCCAAGAGAGAAGGUCACUGAUCCUCCAUCAGUCAGCGCACAACAGAUUCUCAUUCUUUAGAGUGGAUUUUGAGAUUUGCAAAUAGAAAUUAAAUCCCUCAAAUUGUCAUAGGAAAAGAAUGAGGAGUGUGCCCUUCCGAAAACUUGUGAACAAAUAAUGUCUCCAGAAGAUGCCUGAUGUAGUGUAAACAGUGACAGAAGCAGGCCAAGCUGCAAGAGACAGAAAAAAAAGGAAAUUAAGCACUUUACAAAUAUGCAAAGGCAAAGCAGAGUGAGAGACCACCCUUAGUUUGUUUAAAGCAAGAUGGAUUUCUGCUCUUAUUUGGGGCAGAGUCCAUGGUUUGGAGCAGGUGUAGAAAAUCUUCAGGGUCAGAAAAACUGAGAAUAAAGAUUAAAACACAGAUCUGGUAUCAUCCCAGCAGCAUGGAAGGAUUCCUGAAACGUGGCUCUCUGCCUAAUGCUAUUUCUGUACUAUACUACGAUAGUACACAUAUUUUAAUGACAUUAUAGGAAAGCCCAAGAUAAGAAACAGAUUUGUCUUCCUUUUGAUCAAAACCUAAUUCUAAAUGUAUGUAGAUAAAGUAACAACUGUGUAAAUAUCACUCAA